rnacentral:rRNA from 1 species
AGAACGAACGCUGGCGGCAGGCUUAACACAUGCAAGUCGAACGGUUGUAGCAAUACAGCAGUGGCAGACGGGUGAGUAACACGUGGGAACCUUCCUAGGGGUACGGAACAACUCAGGGAAACUUGAGCUAAUACCGUAUACGUCCGUGAGGAGAAAGAUUUAUCGCCCCUAGACGGGCCCGCGUAGGAUUAGGUAGUUGGUGAGGUAACGGCUCACCAAGCCUACGAUCCUUAGCUGAUCUGAGAGGAUGAUCAGCCACACUGGGACUGAGACGCGGCCCAGACUCCUACGGGAGGCAGCAGUGGGGAAUCUUGGACAAUGGGCGCAAGCCUGAUCCAGCCAUGCCGCGUGAGUGAAGAAGGCCUUCGGGUUGUAAAGCUCGUUUUACCAGGGACGAGUAAUGACGGUACCUGAGAAUAAGACCCGGCCGAAACUCGUGCCACGCGAGCCGCC